AUUGAACGCUGGCGGCAGGCCCAACACAUGCAAGUCGAGCGGAUGAAGGGAGCUUGCUCCUGUAUUCAGCGGCGGACGGGUGAUUAAUGCCUAUGAAUCUGCCUGGUAGUGGGGGAUAACGUCCGGAAACGGGCGCUAAUACCGCAUCCGUCCUGAGGGAGAAAGUGGGGGAUCUUCGGACCUCACGCUCUCAGAUGAGCCUAGGUCGGAUUAGCUAGUUGGUGGGGUAAAGGCCUACCAAGGCGACGAUCCGUAACUGGUCUGAGAGGAUGAUCAGUCACACUGGAACUGAGACACGGUCCAGACUCCUACGGGAGGCAGCAGUGGGGAAUAUUGGACAAUGGGCGAAAGCCUGAUCCAGCCAUGCCGCGUGUGUGAAGAAGGUCUUCGGAUUGUAAAGCACUUUAAGUGGGGAGGAAAGGCAGUAAGUUAAUACCUUGCUGUUUUGACGGUACCAACAGAAUAAGCACCGGCUAACUUCGUG
rnacentral:rRNA from 1 species